GUAGUCUGCAACCCGACUACAUGAAGCCGGAAUCGCUAGUAAUCGCGGAUCAGAAUGCCGCGGUGAAUACGUUCCCGGGUCUUGUACACACCGCCCGUCACACCAUGGGAGUCGGAAAUGCCCGAAGCCGGUGACCCAACCGAAAGGGAGGGNGCCGUCGAAGGCAGGUCGGAUGACUGGGGUGAAGUCGUAACAAGGUAUC
rnacentral:rRNA from 1 species